CUGUGAUCAUCCUUAUCAUCUACAUAUGUCCCCACAUGGGAGACAUUUUGGAGGAGGCCCAGGAAGUACUUGUGUAUCCGAGGCAAGCAACAGUGCACUGCUCCUUGAGGAAAGGGAGUCUACAGCCCUCUCCCAGCAUCUCUGUGUUUUAAAGAAAGCUGGAAAGCAUCUGCUGUUUGCAACUGAGGAGUCUCAAAGGGGGUUACAGUCAAUAAAAAAACAAAAGACUCGAAAUGGGUGCAUUCACUUGAGAAAUGUGAACAGGGCUGCAUAUCAUCAGCCAGGCUUCAAGACGUCUUGGCUGCCUUGGUGGUGUAAACUUCAGUAUCGUUCAAUACACACUCACUGGCUUUCUAAGCAACCAAAGAAGGAGCCUUGGGAGCUGAUAUGGAAUGUGAAGUGCAGAAAUUCAUGCAGCUUCUCCUGUAUUUAUAUAAAGCAAGAGCCAGGAUCAUUGGUUGAAAGACUGCCACUGAGACCACUGAUCACUUGA
rnacentral:lncRNA from 1 species